AUAUCAAUAACCAGACUUUCUACCAUAUCUAUCAUCCAUCAUAGUCAUAUUUCUCCUCUCAUCCCUCGCGGUCCGUCGUCGUCCGCCUCAGCCUCAAAAUAGAGCAAUUGGGUUUUCAAGUUCUGCAGUUUUGAACCAAUUGGUUGCUAUUUGCUUAGUUGAAGAGACUUCGAUUUGUGGGAGGAAAUUUACGAUAUUAGUUUGAUUCAUGAAGAAAGAUGUCUCGGUUAGUUGAUGCUAUCAAAAAUGUCAAUGACUCUUAAGGAAACAUGGAAACUUGAUGUUCGUAUUCUUGAUAUAUAUGGAGUGUUGUUGUUGUCUAUAGUAAGGGUAAUGAGCAUCUUGAAAUGGUUAUGAUGGAUUCAAAGGUUACUCUUCACAACAUUCAUAGCUGAAAAAAUACGUUCAACACUUGCAGUUGCUACUGUACGUGUGUGAUGU